rnacentral:rRNA from 1 species
UGGGGAAUUUUGGACAAUGGGCGAAAGCCUGAUCCAGCAAUGCCGCGUGUGUGAAGAAGGCCUUCGGGUUGUAAAGCACUUUUGUCCGGAAAGAAAUCCUCUGGGUUAAUACCUCGGGGGGAUGACGGUACCGGAAGAAUAAGCACCGGCUAACUACGUGCCAGCAGCCGCGGUAAUACGUAGGGUGCAAGCGUUAAUCGGAAUUACUGGGCGUAAAGCGUGCGCAGGCGGUUUUGUAAGACGGACGUGAAAUCCCCGGGCUUAACCUGGGAACUGCAUUCGUGACUGCAAGGCUAGAGUAUGGCAGAGGGGGGUAGAAUUCCACGUGUAGCAGUGAAAUGCGUAGAGAUGUGGAGGAAUACCGAUGGCGAAGGCAGCCCCCUGGGCCAAUACUGACGCUCAUGCACGAAAGCGUGGGGAGCAAACAGGAUUAGAUACCCUGGUAGUCCACGCCCUAAAACGAUGUCAACUAGUUGUUGGGGAUUCAUUUCCUUAGUAACGUAGCUAACGCGUGAAGUUGACCGCCUGGGGAGUACGGUCGCAAGAUUAAAACUCAAAGGAAUUGACGGGGUCAUAGCUGUUUCC